GUUGAAGAACGUAGCGAAAUGCGAUAAGUAGUGUGAAUUGCAGAAUUCAGUGAAUCAUCGAAUCUUUGAACGCACAUUGCGCCCCUUGGUAUUCCAUGGGGCAUGCCUGUUCGAGCGUCAUUUGUACCUUCAAGCUCUGCUUGGUGUUGGGUGUUUGUCUCGCCUCUGCGUGUAGACUCGCCUUAAAACAAUUGGCAGCCGGCGUAUUGAUUUCGGAGCGCAGUACAUCUCGCGCUUUGCACUCAUAACGACGACGUCCAAAAGUACAUUUUUACACUCUUGACCUCGGAUCAGGUAGGGAUACCCGCUGAACUUAAGCAUAUCAAUAAGCGGAGGA
rnacentral:misc_RNA from 1 species